rfam:Nematostella vectensis strain CH2 x CH6 NEMVEscaffold_559_Cont30047, whole genome shotgun sequence.
GCCUCGUUAGCGCAAUAGGCAGCGCGUCAGUCUCAUAAUCAAUGUAGAAAUCUGAAGGUCGUGAGUUCGAUCCUCACACUGGGCU